rnacentral:snoRNA from 1 species
UGCUGUGAAGACCUAGCUAGGUCUGAAGAGUGAUGAGGGGCCAAAGCUCGGAGC